UCUGCGAGUAAAUCCCACGCGUUAAUCGGGCAAGCGAUGGUCCCUAGAACCUUCCGUGCUUGCCAUUACUGCCCCGAAUAGUUUCGGAGUGCGGGUGCUUUCCUAACGUUCGCGCUGAUUGACGCGCCACGGGAGAAACGCGGCUUUCGCCGCUCAGGCAAGUCGAAGGCCGCUGGAAGAGUUAGCGGGGGAGGCACAUUCCUUGGGCCACCGUCUGGUGCAGGCAGCUGCGAGUAUGCUAAAGUGCAACAAAUCAAUCAAGCAGCAAAAUGGACGCUUCAGAUUUCUCAAGAAGGAGCCUGCUACGGACUCUUUUAACAAUUCCCGGGGAACCACCUCAAACCGGUCCGCAUCAUAAGAAGUUGGAGCACUGAACGAGAUAGAGUAGACGACACAGUGAGUACGUCGGCUGUCUUGUAUCUUUACUGUCCUUUCCACCACGCACCAACAAGAAAGCUCCCAAGUACUCCGGUACUGUAGCCGUAACAAGCCUCUCAACCCUAGGAAUGGCCGUCGGUUCCAAUUUAAACUUUCCUUUGUCGACGCCCCAGCUCCUGCAAGUGGUUCCUAUGGGGGUUGUGCUGUCCCGAAAAGUUAUGAAAAGUCGCUCAAAAAGGUGCUUCUCGAGCUUUUCGCUGCUCUGUGUUCUACAACUCUUGGCUCAACCCGAAAAGCUGCGUUGACAAGACUACGACUUCUGGACUCUGCUCUCCAGGGAACACAUGA